AUUCUGGUGUCCCAGGCGUAAAGGAACCACACCAAUCCAUUCCGAACUUGGUGGUUAAACUCUACUGCGGUGACGAUACUGUAGGGGAGGCCCUGCGGAAAAAUAGCUCGAUGCCAGGAUAAUAAAAAGCUUAUGCCUCUU
rnacentral:rRNA from 1 species